UUUGGUAUCCUGAGGGAACCCUAACCCUAACCCUAACCCCCUUACCUGGGGGACAGGUUAGGACAGGGUGGAGGUGAGGGUGAGGCAGAGUCUGCCACGCCCCCAUCCCCCUCUCCCCUCUGUGGUUGAGGAGCUCCAGGUCCUCCGGCCUGCUGGGCCUCCUGAGCCUGACGCUCGAGACGACUCUGACGCCGGAUUGUCUGGUCCUUUUCUCGAACCAUCCGCCGCAAGCACUGACCCGGAGUUGGUCCAGCUCCUUGUUGGUUUGCAUCAGUUGCUUCUCGAGCUCAACGAUCUUCAACAUCGCUUCGUUCUCCACGUCCAACAAACGCUCUGACAUCUGAGGCCAGUCGAGAGAGAAAAAGACAGAAACAGGUUAGUAAGACACCUGUCUGUCUCGCUGCCUGUCUGUCUUUAUGCUUGACUGUCUGACUCUCUGAAUCUGUCCUUCUAUCCAUCUGUCAUCACUUCAUUCUCCACAUCCAGCAGAUGCUCUGACAUCUAAGGACAGAGAGAGAGAGACAGGUCAGUACGACACCUGUCUGCCUUCGUGCCUGUCUGUCUCACUGUGCCCAGGCUCCCCUCCAGCUCUCCUACUCGUUCCAGAGCGGCAGUUUUUGUUCUGUGUGUGUGUUUAACUGUUUCAUUCUGUCUUUCUGUUUCCCUGACUGUCUCUCUCCAUCUGUCUAUCUCCACCUGUCUAUCUCACCGUGCCGAGGCUCUCCUCCAGCUCCUCGACUCUCUCCAGAGCAGCAGUUUUGGUUUCGGCGUCCUCCAGCAGCGUGCCAACGUCGAAGACAUUGUCGAGAUAUGCCUGAAUCUGAACCUGCAGCCUGUCGCUCUCUGUGUGCUUCAGCCUCUAAGGUGUUCGUCCAGGUUGAGUUUGGUGAAGUCGUACUGCAGAUGGACUCUGAAGUUCAUGUCCUCCACUGAAUGAACCACGAUGUUAAUGAACUGCAUACAGGCCACCUGCGACCGUUACCAUGGCAACAGAAAAAAUAUGUUACCGUUAACAACCAGUUUUCAACCUGAUGAUAUGAAACUGGAUGAUGUAACCAAUUUAAACCUUACUGACGAGUCGUGAGUUCUUCAGAGUUCUACGACUCGGCAGCGUGUUGGAGCGAGUCACCAGAGUUGAACUAUAAACACAGAAAACAUCCUCAGAGAUCAGAGUGAAGAUUAUCUGAGUAUCAAUGACCUCAAUGGGUGAAAGUUUGGCUUCUUCAGGUAAGAAAAGAUCCAAAGUUUAAAACAAAUGUCCUCCAGAAUCCGCAUUUCUGCUUGGUCUCUGGUUUGGUACAUUACAGGUGAUUUGAAUGAAAUAUAAGUGAAGCAUGACUAUUCUAUAACCGAACCAGGUAGGGACUGAGUCAAACUCAUUAACUUUAUUAACACCACCUACCUGAUCACAGAUCAGCUCCCACUUCUUCUCAUUGUCAUAGGAACGCAGCAAACGGACCUUAUCAGGAGGCAAGUUCAUUGAAUUCUGAAACACAGAAACAAUUAACAUUUUAAUUUUAAAACACAUUGUUGGGAAUAUAAAUGCAGUUUAUAAGGACACUGUCAAUUUUGUAGAAAGUUCAUCUUUCCAUCAGCACAUCCACAAAAUUACUUUCUCCAGCGGCCCAACAAAUCCCAGAAGAACUGUACACCAUCCAGGUCCCGAAUCACACUGAAGAAAACUGCAGUCAACCAAAAAAUCUGGACUACAAUAUCCAAAAAACAAUCGUUUGUGUCUGUGGUCACAGCUACAUUUACAGCCAGCAAUAAAAACUUGUUAUACGUAAAUAAAAACAUUAUCUAAUAAAACAGUGAUAUUAAACAUGAACACUGUAAAAACUAUGAAACUCUACAGCGUCACCAAUAACAUAAAUAAAAGAACUGACAGCAACAAUCUCACUUAAAAAAAGAACCAGAGUUUUUAAAAUCAGGUCAAAUUCUCAUAAAGACUCAUUAACGCUUAGAUGUGGACCCAUGGAUGUCAGCAGAUGGUACUAACUGACCAAUGAGCUGAGUGGAUCUUACUCUGAGGUGAGCAGUGGGAUGAUCCAGGAGAGGUCAGGUAAAGUUCGGACAUGGUCGGUUCUGACCAAUCAGGACAGUCCAAACAUUCUCUAAACAAAACUGUUUCCAGCCAAUUAGAGUCUCUGACUGUGUUUGUUCAGCAGAGUCCACACUGCAAAACAUGUUAAAAACACUGAUAAAAACCCGGCAGAGAAGAAAAUUCUACGUUAUUAAAGUCCAUUAAAAACAGAGCUCAGUCCCAGUCCAUAAACUGCUGCAGAAUCCAGCAAGACAGAAGUCCCCAAACCAGGUCUGUAGGCUCAGUAACCAGUUUCCAAAAGAAAUUCAUUAAACCUCUUUGGACAUCAGACAGGAGAGAAGCUGGAGGAUCAAAACAGGCCAGCCGGUGCCACAGACCAGGAGAAACCAGGUUAUUAAAAACAAGUACACAACUUCUGUAGGACAUUUUAGGUAAAAGCCAUUUCCAUUUUUAAAGACAACCUUUGAUAUAUUCUGAAAUGUUCUCCCAGUUUUUCUGUACAAACAGUACAUUUCCUAAACCUUACACCAAACCUGAAGACCAUCUGAAAGCGCUAAAGACUUGACAAACUAACAUAAAGACUGUUUCAGAUGUUUUAGUCUCUGAUGGUCAGGAAGGAACAAACACCUUCCGAGUGCAUAAAUCUACUAGACGAUGCUCUGGACCACUGCUCAGGAACCUAUGGAGUCCGGGAGGUUGAUGACCCCAAAAAUCCAUUGCCAAGUGUCACAUGUUCUUGAACCAGAACAAACAUGGACAACGACUAGCAGCUUGUAUUCACUGAUCCAGACUGGAACAGAACUGGUCCAACUGACCCAGACUGGAACUGACCAAAAUGAUAUUCAUCAUCUCAGAUACUGAUGUGGGCCCCAAUCUUAAAAGACCUCUCUAUUUGUUAACGAGGACAGCAUCAGUUUAUACAGACGGUUUGAAGGAAACAUCAUAGCCAGUAAAACGGAUCUUUUCUCAGGUUGUUGAGCAGACGUCUAAUGGAGUACAACACACCAGAUAGAGAACCAGCUCACCACCACUGUUUUAACAACACUCAGAAUAACAGCACAGAAACUGUUGGCUGUGAAACCUUGGCCAUUGAACCAUUAUCAGACACUCAGUCCGCUCAGUGUGGAUCACAGAACUCAUCAGUCCUCUGAGUCCAGAGGAUUUAUACUGGAUCAAUACAGUUGUGAACUUUUGGUUUACACUGGAUUGAGACUCAGAAAGACCAGAAUACAGACCAAAACAUCUGGAUCUUCAGAAUCUUAGAGGAAUCAAAGACUGAAGACCUGGAACACGGUUUUAACCAGCUGCUCUAUUUAUGUUUGUAUCAGUCUGCCGGUCCACUUCUUGAAAUGCUGAUGUAUUGUGAUGAAAUUUGGGUCAGACAUUCAUACUCUCUUCAGAUACUGUGGAGUCUACCAAACCCUGUAGUCCACCAUGGCCACAACUUGUAUUUAUCAGUCUGUACAUCACAUAGAUUCAUUCAUUCACAGUUUAAUCUGCAUAUUUUCAAUAUGUCUCCAUUCUGGAUGUUCAGUGUGUAUCUUUAUUGU